rnacentral:tRNA from 1 species
GCCUUCUUAGCUCAACUGGCAGAGCGUUCUAUGGCUAGAGGAAAGGUGUAGGUUCGAAUCCUGCAGAGGGCU